CUCGACGGGAGGGGCCUUUUGGCAGCUAUCCAUUUGAGCGUAGCUGGCACUUGUUAGUUUCUCAAGGUUAAGUUUCAAGGAUUUUAGUAAAUACACAUUUUAUCAAAGCUAUUUCUUGCUGACAUGCAAAUUCUAUGUUCUAUAGACAAAGCUUCCUUGUAAAACUAUGGGGGCCUCUUAGAGGUAUAGCAAGGGGAUUUAAAGGGGCCUUACAAAUUUAUAGAGGCCUAAUAAUUCUACAACAGUCCCCCCUAAAAUGUUAUUUGCUAAAAGACAAAACUUUAUUUGUUAGUAUCAGAAGAAGUAUUAGCCCAAAGACACAGAAACCCCAUGACCGCUGACUUAGUGUUAAUGCAAAGUGCAAGUCUAUCCCUCUCUUGACCCUAACAGGCUGCAGCACAUCCGUCAGUACGGUUCAGGAACACUCUUCACUCCGCUGGUAACCCAUAGUGGCUUAUCCACUACUUCUCCGUACGGCAGUCUACCCAUAAAGACGGACGCUGUCCCUGUACUGUCCCUUCCUAGACUUUCUGCACUUCAUCAGUAUAAGGGAGAGUUUGUAGCGGAAUACUUGGUGAGAUGAGGUCUUGAUCAUCGAUUGUCAGAUGAGUGAAGGUUGGUGUUGCUUGGUCUACAGUUUUCUGCAGGAAUUUCCUUAGGCAUGGGAGGACACAACAAAUGAGAAGAGCGAGAAUAAAAAGAAAAAAUUAGUAAGGCAAUACCAAUCUGGACUAAAGCUCUCUGCCAACCAGUCAUCCAACCAAACCAUUUUUCCCAGGGAUCAGUAACUCCAGAGUUUCUCUUUAACUCUUCUGAGAGUCUAUUUAAUUUAGCUAUGGCUAGAGUGACUUUACCAUUAGGACCUGUGUUUUCUGGAAUGUAAGUGCAACAAGUCAUAGUGUCGGGAAGUAUUUUACAGACUCCCCCUUUUUCGGCUAAGAUCAUGUCUAAGGCCAGUCUGUUCUGGAAGGUCAUUUGGGAUGUGGCCUGUAAUUGCUCGGCCAAGCCCUGGAGGGCAUCCCUGGUGUAGUUCACGAAGCGCUGUUGGUUGU